CGACGUGAGUAACCUGCCUUGGAGUGGGGAAUAACACAUCGAAAGAUGUGCUAAUACCGCAUAAUGCAGUUGGGCCGCAUGGCUCUGACUGCCAAAGAUUUAUCGCUCUGAGAUGGACUCGCGUCUGAUUAGCUGGUUGGCGGGGUAACGGCCCACCAAGGCGACGAUCAGUAGCCGGACUGAGAGGUUGACCGGCCACAUUGGGACUGAGACACGGCCCAGACUCCUACGGAAGGCAGCAG
rnacentral:rRNA from 1 species